AGUACCCGAAGGAAUAGAAAUCAACCGAGAUUCUGCUAGUAGCGGCGAGCGAACGCGGAAGAGCCCAAACCAUCAGGUGCGCCUGAUGGGGUUGUAGGGCCGUCAAUAAAGGAUAAUUGGAGAAUUAGCUGAAGUGUCUGGGAAGGCACGGCACAGAGGGUUAGACCCCCGUAAGCGAAAGUUUGAAGAUGUCCGAGACGGUACCUGAGUAGGACGGGACACGAGAAAUCCCGUUUGAAUCUGGGGGGACCACCCUCCAAGGNNNNNNNNNNCGUGAGGGAAAGGUGAAAAGCACCUCGAAUAGAGGAGUGAAAUAGAUCCUGAAACCCUGUGUCUACAAGCAGUGGAAGCACUACUGAUCUUCGGAUCAUGUGCGACCGCGUGCCUUUUGCAUAAUGAGCCAACGAGUUGUCUGUCGGUGGCAGGUUAAGUUUUUAACGAAGCCACAGCGAAAGCGAGUCCGAAAUGGGCGUUAGUCAUCGGCAACAGACCCGAAACCGAGUGAUCUACCCCUGUCCAGGUUGAAGCCUGGGUAAGACCAGGUGGAAGACCGAACCGUUGAGCCUUAAAACGUUCUCGGAUGAGGUGGGGGUAGGAGUGAAAGGCGANNNNNNNNNNGAAAUAUAUUGAGGUAUAGCCUCGUGAUAGACCGCCGGAGGUAGAGCACUGGAUGGACUAGGGCCCUCACCAGGGUACCAAACCCAACCAAACUGCGAAUACCGGCGAGUUGUUUCACGGGAGUCAGACAGCGGGAGCUAACUUUCGUUGUCGAGAGGGAAACAACCCAGACCAUCAGCUAAGGCCCCCAAGUCAUGACUAAGUGGGAAAGGAAGUGGGAGCGCCCAGACAACCAGGAGGUUGGCUUAGAAGCAGCCACCCUUUAAAGAAAGCGUAACAGCUCACUGGUCGAGCGAGCCUGCACCGAAAAUAUAACGGGGCUCAAGUCAUGCGCCGAAGCUAUGGGAUUUAUAUUUAUAUAAAUCGGUAGGGGAGCGUUCCCUGUGCGGCGAAGCUGAAUCGAGAGGGUCAGUGGAGCGCAGUCGAUGGAAAACCGGUUCAUAUUCCGGUACUUGCAUGUGCGCGUGAUGGAGGGACGCAGGAGGAUAGCCCGGCCAAGUGAUGGAUAUCUUGGUUCAAGGCCGUAGGCGGAAGUCUCAGGUAAAUCCGGGACUUCUAUAACGCCGAGAGUCGAUGACGAGAGGCUUUGCUUCGCAAAGCGGUCGAUUCCACACUGCCAAGAAAAGCUUCUAAGCAUAGCACAGGCAAACCGUAC
rnacentral:rRNA from 1 species